rnacentral:rRNA from 1 species
CCCGCUGAACUUAAGCAUAUCAAUAAGCGGAGGAAAAGAAACUAACAAGGAUUCCCCUAGUAACUGCGAGUGAAGCGGGAAAAGCUCAAAUUUAAAAUCUGGCGGUCUCGCGGCCGUCCGAGUUGUAAUCUGGAGAAGCGUUUUCCGCGUCGGACCGUGUACAAGUCUUCUGGAACGGAGCGUCGUAGAGGGUGAGAAUCCCGUCUCUGACACGGACAGCCGAUGCUUCAUGUGAUACGCUCUCGAAGAGUCGAGUUGUUUGGGAAUGCAGCUCAAAAUGGGUGGUAAAUUCCAUCUAAAGCUAAAUAUUGGCGAGAGACCGAUAGCGAACAAGUACCGUGAGGGAAAGAUGAAAAGCACUUUGGAAAGAGAGUUAAACAGUACGUGAAAUUGUUGAAAGGGAAACGUUUGAAGUCAGUCGCGUCGGCCAAGACUCAACCCCGCCUUUUGGCAGGGUGCAAUUCUCGGUCGACGGGUCAGCAUCAAUUUCGAUCGUCGGAUAAAGGUCGAGGGAACGUGGCAUCCUCCGGGGUGUGUUAUAGCCCUCGGUUCCGCAUGCGACGGUCGGGAUUGAGGAACUCAGCACGCCGCAAGGCCGGGUUUUAAACCACGUACGUGCUUAGGAUGCUGGCAAUAUGGCUUUAAUCGACCCGUCUUGAAACACGG